rnacentral:lncRNA from 1 species
CGCCCACGAAUCCCGGCAAUAAUGUCGUCUGCUCCCCACGUCCUGCCCUACCACAGCUCCCUCCAAACUGCUGACAUUUUUACCACAGUUAUAGAAAGAAAAUUAAUGAACAUUCCUAGUCUGGGCACACAUCUUAACAUCCAUCCCCUCUCCAAUUAUAAAAUUAAAAGCAACCACUGUAAAUUCCCCACGUUUAGCAAAAUGAAGAGCUAUGGAGAGGAGUGAGCGCUUAAGCCACCUCAAGUAGAAUAUCCUUGUUGUCACACUAAGAAGCUGGUUCCCACGGAA